GAGGGUACAGCUCAGUGGUAGAGCACAUGCUUAGUAUGCAUGACAUCCUGGGUUCAAUCCCCAGUACCACCA
rnacentral:tRNA from 1 species